UUAUAUUGUGGAUAUUAACAUUCAGAAUUGGCUUACAUGUUUUCUAAAUUUAUUCCCAUUUCCCCUUAUGUGCAGCAACAGUAUGCCAAAAUGAGACUCACCUGGUCUAUAUUUUUGGUUUUUUGUUUUGUUUUUGAGACAGAGUUGUUCUGUCUCACCCACGCUGGAGUGUAGUGGUGUGAUCGUGGCUUACUGCAGCCUCCGCCUCCCGGGUUCAAGCAGUUCUCCUGUCUCAGCCUCCCAAGUACCUGGGACUACAGGCUUGUGCCACCACACCCGGCUAAUUGUAGAGUUGGGGUUUUACCAUGUUGGCCAGGCUGGUCUGGAACUCCUGACCUUAGGUGAUCCACCCGCCUCGGCCUCCCCAAGUGCUGGGAUUAUAGGGGUGAGCCACCACACCCGGCCUGGUCCAUGUUUAUGAGAAGUGAUAGUGUAGUAGAUAUUUUGGAGAGCAUAGUGGCUAAAAAUAAAGCUUCAGUUGAGCUUCCUGUUCUUUGGUUGAUUACUUUUACAUGUACAUG
rnacentral:lncRNA from 10 species